rnacentral:lncRNA from 1 species
AAAAAUAUAGGAAAUACAAAAAAGGUAGAGGGUAUACUAAUAUCCAACAGAUAAAGUCCUGCAUCAGUAGUUGAUCGGUAGCAUCCUAAGACUAACUCCUAACUGGCUAGUCUCACUCUAGUGCGCUGUAGAAAUAUCCACAACUCCCCCCUAACCUACAACCUUAAUGCUCGACCUCCACAAUUCCCUGUCAACGGCCAUGUCCUCCGUAAUCCUAAGUCGC